rnacentral:rRNA from 1 species
UACGAGCGGCCCAAACGUUAUUCGGAUUUACUGGGCUUAAAGAGUUCGUAGGCGGCGCAGAAAGUAGGGUGUGAAAGCCCUCGGCUCAACCGAGGAAUUGCGCUCUAAACUACUGUGCUUGAGGAACCUAGAGGUGAGCAGAACUGAUGGUGGAGCGGUGAAAUGCGUUGAUAUCAUCAGGAAUACCGGAGGCGAAGGCGGCUCACUGGGGGUUUUCUGACGCUGAGGAACGAAAGCCAGGGGAGCGAACGGG